GACGAACGCUGGCGGCGUGCCUAAUACAUGCAAGUAGAACGCACAAUUUAUACGGUAGCUUGCUGCACCAAAAAGUGUGAUUUCCCGACGGGAGACUAACGCGUGGUUAACGUGACUUGCAGCGGGUGAUGGCUAUUGGCGGCGAUAGCUAAUACCGCAUAAUAGUGAUUAUUGCAUGAUAUUUGAUUGAAAGAUGCUCUUGCGUCACUACCAGAUGGACCUGCGUUGUAUUCGCUAGUAGGUGAGGUAACGGCUCACCUAGGCGACGAUACAUAGCCGAACUGAGAGGGUGAGCGGCCACCCUGAGACUGAGACACGGCCCAGACGCAUUCAGGAGGCAGCAGGAGGGAAACGUCGGCAAUGGACGAAGGUCAGACCGAACAACGCGGAGUCAGUGAAGAAGGUUUUCGGAUCGGAAAGCUCUGUUGUAAGAGAAGAACGGGUGUGAGAGUGGAAAGUUCACACAGUGACGGUACCUGACCAGAAAGCGACGGCUAACUACGUG
rnacentral:rRNA from 1 species